GACGAACGCUGGCGGCGUGCUUAACACAUGCAAGUCGAACGGAAAGGCCCUGCUUGCAGGGUACUCGAGUGGCGAACGGGUGAGUAACACGUGGGUGAUCUGCCCUGCACUUCGGGAUAAGCCCGGGAAACUGGGUCUAAUACCGGAUAGGAGCCAUUUUUAGUGUGAUGGUUGGAAAGUUUUUUCGGUGUAGGAUGAGCUCGCGGCCUAUCAGCUUGUUGGUGGGGUAAUGGCCUACCAAGGCGGCGACGGGUAGCCGGCCUGAGAGGGUGGACGGCCACAUUGGGACUGAGAUACGGCCCAGACUCCUACGGGAGGCAGCAGUGGGGAAUAUUGCACAAUGGGCGCAAGCCUGAUGCAGCGACGCCGCGUGGGGGAUGACGGCCUUCGGGUUGUAAACUCCUUUCGCUAGGGACGAAGCUUUUUGUGACGGUACCUAGAGAAGAAGCACCGGCUAACUACGUG
rnacentral:rRNA from 1 species